UGCGGCAACACAAGUCAGACAUGUGCUAGUCUGAAGAGGACUUCCUGUCCUGGCCUGUACUUGGAUGGGAGACCAACUAGGAAAGCUGGGUUGUUGCUGGAA
rnacentral:rRNA from 1 species